AUUCAUGAUGCUGCUGGUAAAGCAUAGAUGGUUUGGAUCCCUUUUUUUGUGUGUAUGUGGCAGGCAGAGGGCCACUUGAUUGAGAUCACCUGGCACACCAGCUGCUUCAUUAGCAGAGGGCUGAUAAAAGCCUCUGUCAGUAGAGCUUCAGACAGAGACCUGCUGCUUCCAGGUGGGAAGGUGCAGCAGCUGUGCAGCCUUUGGCUGUGUGUAGGGCCCUAACCAUAGCCGGAUCGCAGGCAGUGUUUGGCCGCUCAUGCGACUCAUGUGGAGAGUCCUCUUAAGCUGCGGGAGCAGAGCGGUGCGACGGCCGGCAGUUCUGGGGAUCGUGUGUGUUCCAUACAGAGUGUCAGUGACUGCUGUCCAUCCACGCACUGGCGAGCAGCGUGACGGAGUGGGAUUGACAGCUAUUGGAGCGAGUUCCCCCUUCUGGGCUUCUGUCCCCCCAAGCACAACCAGGGCCCAGUGUCCCACCACCUUGGACUGGCGUCGGUUACGGCCACUGGAUGCAAGGGACGUGACAUUGAGCCGGGUGCGCCGCCACAGAGAGCGCACAGCUGGGUGCAGCUGACUUUGUGGGCUGGGCAUGAUCGCCCUUAUGGUUUGGUUGACUGUUUUGGGUAUCUUUUUAGAAUAGGAAAUUUAGCAUAAUUUCUAAUAAAGGUUGUCUUUUCUUUAAAAGCA